AUGGCGCGGCGGUGGCGCUGACCCAGGCCCGGGCGGCGGCCGGGCCCCGCGGGCCGGCAUGGCGGGCCAGUUCCGCAGCUACGUGUGGGACCCGUUGCUGAUCCUGUCGCAGAUCGUCCUCAUGCAGACCAUGCAUUACGGCUCGCUGGGCCUGUCAGGCUGGCGCCGGUGGACGGGCUGGUGCGCAGCAGCCCCUCGCUGGACCAGAUGUUCUAUGCUGAGAUCCUGGGCUUUUCCACCCCUCCAGGCCGGCUCUCCACGACGUCUUUCGUCCUCAACGCCCUCACCUGUGCCCUGGGCUUGCUGUACUUCAUCCGGCGAGGGAAGCGGUGUCUGGAUUUCACUGUCACUGUCCAUUUCUUUCACCUCCUGGGCUGCUGGUUCUACAGCUCCCUUUUCCCCUCCGCGCUGAGCUGGUGGCUGGUCCAGGCCGUGUAUAUUGCACUCAUGGCUAUCAUCGGGGAGUACCUGUGCAUGCGGUCGGAGCUCAAGGAGAUACCCCUCAACUCAGCCCCGAAGUCCAGUGUCUAGAGUAGGGUCCUUUGGACACCCAGCUGGGCACUUGACACCUUGGGCUGCUCCGACUGUCCAGAUGAGGUCCAGCCCAGGCCUGAGAGGAACCCGGGAAAUGUGAAGUCUCUGUUGGUGUGGGAGAGAGAGUGAGGCCCCGUCAAGAAGGCAGGUAGCAGGCAGGAUCACAGCUGCAAGUACGGCCUCUGUCCACUGAAGCCUUGGUAUCUGGGAGGUCGGCAAGGGGGACCUCUUUCAGGGUAGUAACAGAAUCAGAACCAUGUCACUCUUGAGCCACCAUACCUGUCACCAGCCUGUUAUUUUAAAAAGGAAAAAAUAAUAAUAAUCAAGGAUAUCUGAUCACAGCGAACCACUCUUCUAGCCAUCUAUCUUACCUCCCUGGGACAGCUGUGAGCUUUGCCAUGCUGCUGAAGUGCAGCUAUUCUGUUUGGAGCAACACUUGGUUUCUGGAUCCAGAGCCACAGAAAGAGAUGUAGGCGCAAAGUAGCAGGCUGCUGUCAGGGAGAGGACCGCAGGUGGGGCAUCAAGCGGAAAG